CUAUUGUAUUUACUGUUGGUCUUUAUUUUUCAUAAGGAGUACUAAAUUCAAUUCUGAAGUUUUACUUCCUGUUUUCAACUUUCUCAACUGCAGAACAUCCGAACUAUAUACAAAAAGUAGAGUGAAUACUGUAAUGAACCACCAUGUAAUCAUCACAAAGCUUCUGAAAUUAACAUCUCAUGGUCAGCUGUGUUUCAUUCCUCUGCUAGUUCUGGAUUAUUGUGAAGCAAAUCCGAGAAAUCAUAUUAUUUCAUCCUUUACAUCUCUUCAAAAUAUGACAAAGUUUUUGGACUAAGACUGGAAAUACGACACCAAGUCUCUUUGAUCUCCAGAUUGCUGACUGCAAAUAACUGGACUUCCCAGCCUCCAUAAUCAUAAACCUGUAUGCAGAACAGGAUGCAACAGUUAGAACUGGAC
ensembl:lncRNA